CCUAAAAAAUUAAAAAAGAAUGUAUUGACGUUCAUUGUUUAGGAGAUUGAAGAAGUUGCAAUGAAUCUUUUUCCAUUCCACGGAUAUAAUUAAAAAAAAAACAAUUUCAGUUUAGGGGUAAGUUGGUUAUUUUAUCAAUUAGCUAAAGAAUUGGAUUUUUUGUGUUACGAUGAAGUAAUAUGUUUUCAAAUUAGCCAGAAUGCCUUGAAUAAUUUAUAAACUAUUCAGCUGUUUUAUAUUUCAAGCAAAUUAGCCAAGAUUCUUGGCUAUUUUGUAAACUAGCCGCUAUUUUAGUUGAAACAGUUACGCAAUAGCAAUAACAUAUACUUGGGGUUCUUUAACAAUGAGUUUGAAUUUGGGCUUUCUUAGAAUUAUUCUUAUUAUGCUUUAUCCACUUGAAAACUGGAAAAUAAGAAUUCAAAUACUUUUUAAAAGUUAUGAGGUAUGUAGAAACGAAAACGUAUAAAACUAUACGAAAGUUUUGCAUUUUAUAAGUUUCAAUUUGACUUGCGUUUCAACCAUGUCUUAUAUAUGUCGCAGCUACUUAGCGAAUUCAGACAUUUCAUGAAAUGUUAUACACUGCGGUUUUUAUUUUACUGAACACACAUAACACUAUUAAUCCUAGGUUAAAUUUUUAAAAAUUCUAAUCAAUGCAUUAUUAUAAUUCUUAGAUUUUUGUAUUAUAUGGUGAAGAAUUUAUUUCUCUGAACAUUACAUAACAAACUUAACAGUUUAAACUUAUCCUCUGUUCAGUUUUAAAAAGUCCAUAUCAAUCCAUUGCAAACAGUUCCAAAGAAACGCCUUUGUUCAGCAAAAUAAAAACCUCAUUGUGUAAUUUGCAAAGUGAAAAGUUGGUGAAAAAAGAAAGUAAAAAUUCAUAUCCUUCAAAAUAUACCAGUUAAUUCACGUAAGAUGACGAGCUUUGGAAAAAUAAAUACAACUCACAAUCGUUGCAUUCUAUGGAUGUGGGGCACGUUAUCUUCUUACCUGAAUCAACUGGUUUAACUUGUAGUCUUUAAUUAUGUAAACCAAUGGGUGUUUUUAUAAAUUUUAAGUUGAGCAAUUUAUUACUCGAGUAGUCAGCUGUUUCACGAGCUCCAAAAAUGUUAAAAAUGCGAUUAUCAAAUUUGAAUUUCAAGAUUCCUUUUGCACAUCUUUUUCUAUGGAAGUGUCUUAAUAUUAUAUUAAUAUGUCCUGGAAUAAAUACUGUAAUUGUA